CUCUUCAGAAACCACGUGCAGAGGGAAUGGCUGACACGUGGAAUGACUUGGAAAACUCCGGUGCGAACGCCUGGUCUGAAAUACUUCAUGGAUUCCAUGGAUAUACAUCGGCUCAGACGACCUUUCACCAACUUCUGUCUUCCAAGGUGGACAACGAUCUACCGUCUGGAGCCGACAUUAGGGCAAGAGACUGCCUGAGUAAAAACUUAGCAGUAAGAAUUUAUUGGUAGACAACGACGUCAAAAUAUAGACACCUCGGUCAGGGUUUUUUUUAACCCAAAGCGAUCAACCAAGGCUACCACACGAGUGUUUAUUAACAGUAACAUAAAUGUGAUCAAGGCUGCUUCACAUCACUCACUCCUAAACCGACAAAAUAAGACAGAAUCCAAAUUACGAAUGCUUUUGCCUUCUUUUCUGAUGUAAAUGAAUAAAUCAAGCAUUAUA